rnacentral:rRNA from 1 species
UUCUUCGGAAUGAAUUUGAUUUAGUUUACUGGCGGACGGGUGAGUAACGCGUGAGUAACCUGCCUUCAAGAGGGGAAUAACAUUCUGAAAAGAAUGCUAAUACCGCAUGACAUAUCGGAACCACAUGGUUUUGAUAUCCAAGAUUUUAUCGCUUGAAGAUGGACUCGCGUCCGAUUAGUUAGUUGGUGAGGUAACGGCUCACCAAGACCGCGAUCGGUAGCCGGACUGAGAGGUUGAACGGCCACAUUGGGACUGAGACACGGCCCAGACUCCUACGGGAGGCAGCAGUGGGGGAUAUUGCGCAAUGGGGGCAACCCUGACGCAGCAACGCCGCGUGAAGGAUGAAGGUUUUCGGAUUGUAAACUUCUUUUAUUAAGGACGAAAAAUGACGGUACUUAAUGAAUAAGCUCCGGCUAACUACGUGCCAGCAGCCGCGGUAAUACGUAGGGAGCAAGCGUUGUCCGGAUUUACUGGGUGUAAAGGGUGCGUAGGCGGCUUUGCAAGUCAGAUGUGAAAUCUAUGGGCUCAACCCAUAAACUGCAUUUGAAACUGUAGAGCUUGAGUGAAGUAGAGGCAGGCGGAAUUCCCCGUGUAGCGGUGAAAUGCGUAGAGAUGGGGAGGAACACCAGUGGCGAAGGCGGCCUGCUGGGCUUUAACUGACGCUGAGGCACGAAAGCGUGGGUAGCAAACAGGAUUAGAUACCCUGGUAGUCCACGCUGUAAACGAUGAUUACUAGGUGUGGGGGGUCUGACCCCUUC